CGCGGCUGUUUGUUGCUCGGUUGAAGUCGUGGUGAGCCUCUGUCGCUUUUGCGCUACUCUCUUCGCUCUCUACUCAAGCGUAGUGGCCGGUGUUUGCCCGGCCGAGGCGGCCGUCCGCCGUGUCCGUGGUCGCGGGGGUUAGGGGAGGAGAAAGGGGGUGACAAGGGUAUCCAGAGGUGCGCCUUGGAGUGGAGAACACGACCAGCAGGUCACGAGAAGCAGAGGAGGCACGGAUGGCUCGGUCGCGCCGUCGAUUUGGCCGGCCGGAGGUUGAAGACGGAGCUGACAGCGAGGGCCCGCUGUCAGCGACGUCCUGAGGGGAGGCGAGGGCGCGAGCGCGCGCAGCGCGGGUACGGGCCGAGCGCGUGUGGGCCGGCCUGCGGCCCAGUUUCCAGGCCGCCCGCUGCGCUGUUUUUUUUUCUUUUUCCUUUUUGAUUAAAAUUGCUUGAUGUUUGAAUUUAUGUUAUAAAUUUUGUAGUGAUCCAAAAAUGAUGAAAAUUUUUGUAUAAAUUCCCUGAAAUAGUUAGAACCCAAGAAAAAUAUUAGGCUCUGUUUUCUGAUAAUUUGCCAGGUUAUGAAAAUUGGCUCUUUUAAUUACCAAAUAAAGCUUUGAUGAAUUUUAAUAAUUUAUUAGUAUGUCCAAAAAUCACCAAAAAUUGUGAGAUGCCUCUGAAUAUUAUUCCCUGGCUCCACACAAAAUUUGGUGGCAUUUGGAUAAUGUUUGUUUAAAAUAUUAAUAAACCCUUAUUUAACACUUAAAUAAUAAUUCCAAAAUAAUUAAAUAGUGAUUAUUUAGAUCCUCAUAAUUAGGGUUGAGUGAUUUUGGGAUUGUGUGAUGACCUGAGGUCAUUAACCCUAAUGACCUUUGGCAUUUAAUUAUUGUUUAGCCUUAAUGCUUAAUUACUGUCAUUUGUAAUUAAUUAAGAGUUAAUUAAGGUAAUUAGGAUUAAUAAUUAACUAAUUUAAGAUAAGUAUGAAUUAAAUAAAGUCUUAGUUUACAGAUGCAACCUCUUGGGUAAAAUCAUUAAGUUAUUAAGCAACUUUAUUUAGCGAUAAUUUUGUAUUGCAUCAAGAAGGCGAGUUGUACUUGAUUUGGUCCUUCUUGCAUAUUUGUCA
rnacentral:lncRNA from 1 species